UCUAGUUUAUUUGAAUUGUCGUUAAAUGAAUGCCUAGUUUUUUCCAGAGACUGUUCUCCUGCUUGAGAUGCAAAAAUAAAUUUAAAAGUGCCCGUAUUGAAAGGAUUUAAUCUACUCCCAGAAAGGAGCGACUAAAUAACAAUGUUAGAACCUGUAAGCAGGAUUUCAAAGAUUUUGUUUUUCUCAUUGCAACCCUGUAACAUCAUAAAGACUGCAAAUUAGAAAGUCAGAGGUGGAGAAAAAGAAACAAAAACAAAAUAAAAUUUCUUCAGAGCAGAACUUGUUUCACAUGUAAUGGGGGCUGCAACCCACAGAAGAAUUCACCCCAACUCGCUGCUGCUGGUGGUGCAAGUGAAAACUACUCAAGGCUCCUUAAGCAAGAAAGACGUGCCAAAUUCGCACUGGAAUUUGCUCACACUAGCAAAUUGUAUAGAAUGGUUUAGAAGGUAAAUCCAGUCUGUCCGAGAGACUCUGCAGUGGUGGACAUUUGCCCUACCAGAAUCCAUCCGCUACAACAGCCACUGGCUACUUGUAGAUGCAGAGUGGCUAACAUGGGUAAGGAAUUGAACUUUAAAUUGUGCCUCACUUUAAUCAAUUAAAAUUUAUUUUAACGCUACAUUCAUUUCUGUAUUGUGUGAGCACACACCCAUUGGUCUGCGGUGAAAGGAGGAAGCCCUGAGUGACUGUGUGCAUUAUUGACAUGGGCGUGGCCAUAUCAAGUAUUCUAAAGCCUCAGAUCCACAGGAAAAUGGCAAAUCCAACGACACCCCCAGACUCAGGGAAACGGCAAAACCUUUCUCUGAUCUGUGUGUGGAUGCUCCUACUGAAGUUCACUAACCCGCCUCCUUGUUCAGCUGUAUGCAAUAGCCUCUUCUUCCUGUUCACUGUACACAAUAAACACGCGGAGGAUGUUGUGCUUUCUCCAGCCAAGAGCCCAGUC